CCUACGGGAGGCAGCAGUGGGGAAUAUUGCGCAAUGGAGGAAACUCUGACGCAGCCAUGCCGCGUGUGUGAAGAAGGCCUUCGGGUUGUAAAGCACUUUCGACGGGGAAGAUGAUGACGGUACCCGUAGAAGAAGCCCCGGCUAACUUCGUGCCAGCAGCCGCGGUAAUACGAAGGGGGCAAGCGUUGUUCGGAAUUACUGGGCGUAAAGGGCGUGUAGGCGGACCAAUCAGUCAGGGGUGAAAGCCAUGGGCUCAACCUGUGAACUGCCUUUGAUACUGUUGGUCUAGAGUUCGUGAGAGGAUAGCGGAAUACCCAGUGUAGAGGUGAAAUUCGUAGAUAUUGGGUAGAACACCAGUGGCGAAGGCGGCUAUCUGGCACGAUACUGACGCUGAGGCGCGAAAGCGUGGGGAGCAAACAGGAUUAGAUACCCU
rnacentral:rRNA from 1 species